GUUUGAUCCUGGCUCAGGACGAACGCUGGCGGCAGGCUUAACACAUGCAAGUCGAGCGCUCUCUUCGGAGAGAGUGGCAGACGGGUGAGUAACGCGUGGGAAUCUACCCAGUACUACGGAACAACAGUUAGAAAUGACUGCUAAUACCGUAUACGCCCUCCGGGGGAAAGAUUUAUCGGUAUUGGAUGAGCCCGCGUUUGAUUAGCUAGUUGGUGAGGUAAUGGCUCACCAAGGCGACGAUCAAUAGCUGGUCUGAGAGGAUGAUCAGCCACACUGGGACUGAGACACGGCCCAGACUCCUACGGGAGGCAGCAGUGGGGAAUCUUAGACAAUGGGCGCAAGCCUGAUCUAGCGAUGCCGCGUGUGUGAUGAAGGUCUUAGGAUCGUAAAGCACUUUCACCAGGGAUGAUAAUGACAGUACCUGGAAAAGAAACCCCGGCUAACUCCGUGCCAGCAGCCGCGGUAAUAAGG
rnacentral:rRNA from 1 species